CAGCACCUCAAGUGGUCAGGAUGAUUAUUGGGCCUAAAGCAUCCGUAGCCUGCUUUGUCAGUUUUCGGUUAAAUCCAUACGCUCAACGUAUGGGCUGCCGGGAAUACUGCAAAGCUAGGGAGUGGGAGAGGUAGACGGUACUCGGUAGGAAGGGGUAAAAUCCUUUGAUCUAUUGAUGACCACCUGUGGCGAAGGCGGUCUACCAGAACACGUCCGACGGUGAGGGAUGAAAGCUGGGGGAGCAAACCGGAUUAGAGACCCGUGUAGUCC
rnacentral:rRNA from 1 species